UCUACUUUUAUUUUUUUCAUGGUAUCAAAGCCAUUUGACUCAUACCCUCUAUAAUUUCUUAACAACAUAUUUAAGUUCCUUUUCUUCCACUCUCUCCUUUUCAAUUAAUGGUAUUUCUCAUCCCAUUUUUAUUGAGUUAGAUAUGAAGGAUAAGGUUUCCUAGAAGCAUUCAUGUAUCCAAAUACAUUUCUUGACAUGAUAUAAUAUGAUGCUUAGGCAAGCCACAUCAUAUGUCUUUCUUGAUGCUUAAAAAGCGUCAUUGUUUCCUUUUUCCUUAUAGUAGUUUCUACAAGUUCUUCAUAGAUGUGACUUACUAGCUAUUGUUUAUGAAUUGAAACAUGCCCAUCUAAGCUCAUCCAAGACUAUAAGGGAGAAGAAAUAACAUAACCACAAUUUAUAACUCAAAUAAGUAGGAUUAUAGUACAUUCUUUGUUAUCUUAAGAACACUGUAUAUGAAAUUUAUUUCUUCCUAAAGAUAUCAUGUAGUUGUGGUUUAAUUGAGAUGAACUUUAUUCUUCCUAAAAAGGCUUAGGGUGCGUUUGAUAGUGUUUUACUCAAAAUGUUUUCUCUAAAAGUGUUUUUAUGAGAAUCACCCAUCAACUGCUUCUCCAGAAAACACUAAAAAGGAUUUUUCAGAUUUUUAAAAGUUUUUCAUAAAUUUUUUCAAACAUUUGUUUUUU
rnacentral:lncRNA from 1 species